rnacentral:rRNA from 1 species
UACGUAGGGUGCAAGCGUUGUCCGGAAUUAUUGGGCGUAAAGAGCUCGUAGGCGGUUUGUCGCGUCUGCUGUGAAAACUCGGGGCUUAACUCCGGGCCUGCAGUGGGUACGGGCAGACUAGAGUGCGGUAGGGGAGACUGGAAUUCCUGGUGUAGCGGUGAAAUGCGCAGAUAUCAGGAGGAACACCGGUGGCGAAGGCGGCAUCCUGGACCGGCAUUGACGCUGAGUGAGCGAAAGCCAGGGGAGCAAACGGG